rnacentral:rRNA from 1 species
AACGCGAAGAACCUUACCAGCCCUUGACAUCCCGGUCGCGGACACCAGAGAUGGAGUCUUUCAGUUCGGCUGGACCGGAGACAGGUGCUGCAUGGCUGUCGUCAGCUCGUGUCGUGAGAUGUUGGGUUAAGUCCCGCAACGAGCGCAACCCUCGCCCUUAGUUGCCAUCAUUUAGUUGGGCACUCUAAGGGGACUGCCGGUGAUAAGCCGCGAGGAAGGUGGGGAUGACGUCAAGUCCUCAUGGCCCUUACGGGCUGGGCUACACACGUGCUACAAUGGCGGUGACAGUGGGAUGCAAUGGAGUGAUCCUGCGCAAAUCUCAAAAAGCCGUCUCAGUUCGGAUUGUGCUCUGCAACUCGAGCACAUGAAGUUGGAAUCGCUAGUAAUCGCAGAUCAGCACGCUGCGGUGAAUACGUUCCCGGGCCUUGUACACACCGGCUAC